UACGGAGGGUGCAAGCGUUGUCCGGAUUUAUUGGGUUUAAAGGGUGCGUAGGUGGCUUUGUAAGUCAGUGUUUAAAGUCUGCAGCUUAACUGUAGGAAUGGCAUUGAUACUGCAAGGCUUGAGUAAAGUUGAGGUAGGCGGAAUUGAUGGUGUAGCGGUGAAAUGCAUAGAUAUCAUCAAGAACACCGAUUGCGAAGGCAGCUUACUAAGCUUUAACUGACACUGAGGCACGAAAGCGUGGGGAUCAAACAGGAUUAGAAACCCCAGUAGUCC
rnacentral:rRNA from 1 species